UACGGGGGGAGCAAGCGUUGUUCGGAUUUACUGGGCGUAAAGGGCGCGUAGGCGGUCGUGACAAGUCACUUGUGAAAUCUCCGGGCUUAACUCGGAACGGUCAAGUGAUACUGUCGGACUAGAGUACAGAAGGGGCAACUGGAAUUCUCGGUGUAGCGGUGAAAUGCGUAGAUAUCGAGAGGAACACCUGCGGCGAAGGCGGGUUGCUGGGCUGAUACUGACGCUGAGGCACGAAAGCGUGGGGAGCGAACAGG
rnacentral:rRNA from 1 species